GUGGGGAAUAUUGGACAAUGGGGGGAACCCUGAUCCAGCCAUGCCGCGUGUGUGAAGAAGGCCUUUUGGUUGUAAAGCACUUUAAGCGAGGAGGAGGCUACCGAGAUUAAUACUCUUGGAUAGUGGACGUUACUCGCAGAAUAAGCACCGGCUAACUCUGUGCCAGCAGCCGCGGUAAUACAGAGGGUGCAAGCGGUAAUCGGAUUUACUGGGCGUAAAGCGCGCGUAGGUGGUCAAUUAAGUCAAAUGUGAAAUCCACGAGCUUAACUUGGGAAUUGCAUUCGAUACUGGUUGGCUAGAGUAUGGGAGAGGAUGGUAGAAUUCCAGGUGUAGCGGUGAAAUGCGUAGAGAUCUGGAGGAAUACCGAUGGCGAAGGCAGCCAUCUGGCCUAAUACUGACACUGAGGUGCGAAAGCAUGGGGAGCAAACAGGAUUAGAUACCCCAGUAGUCC
rnacentral:rRNA from 1 species